UGCGCCAUGUCGCUGCUCGUCAGACAAAGUCUCAAUUCUUUAAGUCAAAGACAAAGUGCUGAUUCUUUCAGUUCGAGGCAAAAGCCCAGGACAAAUGUGUGACAAAAAUACGGGUGUGGAAUGCCUCAAACUGCGGAGCAAUAAGGAAGGCGCUUUCGAUGAGGAGCCGGGUUAAUGGAUACUGAAGAUGGUGGUGGUAGGGAGAAUGGUAAAGGAAAAUUCAGGAGCUGGUUUUACCUCUUUCAGUUUUGAAGGCUCCUAGGCAAAAUGGCUCAGAGCCGUCCAGCUAUGGGGAAAAAAAAAGGGAAAAAAAAAGAGAAUCCUUUUGCAUAGGUUUUGAUUUGUUGUGUUUGUUGGGGGUUUUUUUCAUGACGAUGGGAAACAGAGCGUAGCCAAACUCCUGACAUUUCAUGAGUUAUAAAUAUUGUACAAAAUUAUACUUCUGGCACCAGAAAAUGCUUUCUCCUGUUGUUCAAAGUGACUCCAGAUGCUGAUGUAUUUAGUGUACUGCGCAAGCACGCGGACCGGAAUGAAAAAGCGAAGUAAAUGAGUUUACAUUCAUCUGUCAAUAUUCCUAAGGGACGGCCUGUUCAGGCUGCCAAGUCUGCUCUGCGUAUGCGUGCAUAACUUCAGCGGGCCAGAGAUUCCCACAGUGGAAUCUCCUCCAUGAGCAGGGGCGCUCUGCCGCCGCAACCUGGUGGAGGUGGUGACCGCUCCCCUUCUGAGUGUCCUCCAUCUCCUGCAGGAUUGGCAGAAAGAGCUUUCCAAAGGACCUGGGCAUUUUACGUUUUAAAUAGCUAUAUGUUUCACUGACUGCUGUCCCUCACUUGAGACAGUCCCAUGAAAAGGGAUUUUGACUAUACAAACAGCAGCAAUUUCCAUCCCAAACGCUGGAGUGAUUUGAUGCCCAUGAAAAAAGCAAACAAGGCACAUGUGAGAGAAGAAGCUGCUGUGGCCAAUGUCCAGCAUAUGUUGGAAACACAUGGAAGAAAGAAGAAAAGAUGAGAGAAUUCAAGAGAUGAAGCGUCAAUGGAAUCGUGAAGGCUGGAAAAGACCGCUAAGUUCAUCUAGUCUUCACCAUCAGCCCAUCCCCAGAAUGCCCACUAACCCAUGUCCCUCAGUGCCAAUGAGAGAGGCAAGCGGUGAGAAAGGGCUGCCCGACUGUUUUUUCUCGUAUGUAAACUUCAAAGUCACUCAGAGGUCAAAGCUUGGAUGAAGACAGACCGAGGAGAACAGCAGCGGUGAGAACACGCAGUGCGGAGAAGCCGGGGAUGUCGGUGGCAGCACAUCGCCUCCAUCGAGGUGCUGGGGAGAUGACCUACGUCUUCGACGUGGCAUGCCAUGAUCUGAGCGUCUGAUGUGGUUGUUGAGGCUUCUGUGCUCACUGGGAAAUUGUCUCGCAGAGGAGCGAAGGGCACGGCCAUGCUCUGGCGGACUUGACAUUCACUGGCUGGUCUUGGUUCAGGCAGUCUGGAAAUAGCUAAAUAGAUCACCGUGAAAAUACUGGAGAAAAACAGCUUUUUCAUGGUUUGUGUUGAAUGCAGAGGGCUUCGGGGUUGGGUGCAAGUUCGGAUAGCACUUACAAUAGCACUGAAAUUAUUUCCCACAGAUGUAUUAGCUUGCAUUUGUUGCUUCUUCCACUUCCACAGUAAAUUCCCACAGGCACUGUGGGAAGAGAGCAUCCUUCUGUAGUGCUGGGCCUCCCCACCAGGGCUAAGAAGGGUUUCAGGCUUAGGAAGUACUUGAAACGCUCCCGAUACAAGGAGCACAUCUAAUGUGUGCCUUGUUGUCCCUUGUUAACAUAACCAGAAGCCACAUUGCUCUCUGCUGCUUCUCACUCAACAACCUUUUUCUGCUGGUUCCGGGCCACUUAGCAUCAUUCUUUUCCUUAAUGAGUUUCACAUCAGUUCUCAUUUUAGCUGAGAGAAAUAAUUUUUGGGCCAGUUUCAAUGAGUUUUGCAAGAAUUAAAGUGAUACUCACUUUUUCAUUAGUGACUCUUUACCACUAACACAGCUCUGCUUACUCCUGAUUUCCGUGCCUCUACGCGUUAAUGCAAAAGCAGAGAAGGAAAAAAACAAAAACACAGCGAGAGAAAAGAAAGAAAAAGUGUUAAUGUGGGAAGAGAAAGCAAAAGUGUGAAGUGGCUCUGUGAAGAGCCACGUGGGUGCAAAGAGAAGCGACAGGGACGCAGGGAAAAGCAGCUGGAAAGCAGGAGUGUGGAGAAAAAUGAGGCUAGGAGGAGGGGUAAAGGGGAGCAGGAGUGGGAGCGGGGAGAUUAAGGAUGGUCCCAAGGGAUGGGGUAACGGGCAGGAAGGAAAGCCAAAUAAGGAGCACAGAGUCAUGUAGUUUAUGCGGUGAGAACAAGAGAUGGCCUUAACAGCAGCACUUUGCAGUGCUGGCGAACUGCAUGAUGUGUACUCAGCUUGGAGUAGCUGUCCUGGCUCUUCAGGAGGCGGCCUAGGAAAGAAGAUUAUGGCUUCAUUUGAAUCAAUUCCUAACCCGGAGUCUCUCCCUAUAAAGGAUGCUAUAAAGGAUGAGUAUCGUGUUGCACUGAAUGACAACUGGAGUGCGUUGGGGUUUGUGCAUUGUCACUGAUUCUAAUGCCUUUUGUGUUGAGCCUGCUGAAAACAAAGGUCAAGUACCAGCACAUUCUGCUUUCUGUGAGAGAUUUAAUUAAAUCCGAAGGACAAAGGCAGGGUACUAGAAACCACCACCAGUGGGAAAGAUGCUUCAUUUUGUAUUACUAUUUUUCAAUAUCAGUUUGUCCGUAGCUGCUUUGUAAUGCUGUCUUAUUUUAUUUUGGUGCGAUGACAGGAGAAUAAACAUUUAAAUAUCCAUCUGAGUCCUGCAGAUGCUACUUUCUGCAAAUAAAGCAUUUGUU
rnacentral:lncRNA from 1 species